GGGGGCGACUGGCUUCGACCGGACAGGUAGACGGCCGGGUGGCAUGCCCAGGAUGACGGUUGGCCUGGCUAAUCAUCCGUUACACUUUUUAACUGGCAACUACCAGUAUAAACUGGCUGCAUAAAUGCGGCCCGUCCUGUGAGAGUUCUUUCCGCGGUUCUCACGAGGGCGCCGACAGCGGAAUAGGUUGCCGAUGUGUUCGCGGUCGGUGAGCGAAACUUAGCGAACUAGCGACAACAACAGCCUGUCGUUUGGCGAUUGUUCGGGCGAAUCUCAAACAAACGACUAAGCAUGUAGAGGCCUUGCCUGAAAUGUCACGGGACGGGGGUUCGAAUCCCCCCGCCUCCACUC
rnacentral:tmRNA from 1 species